rnacentral:rRNA from 1 species
UACGUAGGGGGCAAGCGUUGUCCGGAAUCAUUGGGCGUAAAGCGCGUGUAGGCGGCCCGGUAAGUCCGCUGUGAAGGUCGGGGGCUCAACCCUCGGAUGCCGGUGGAUACUGUCGGGCUAGAGUGCGGGAGAGGCGAGUGGAAUUCCUGGUGUAGCGGUGAAAUGCGCAGAUAUCAGGAGGAACACCAAUUGCGAAGGCAGCUCGCUGGAACGUAACUGACGCUGAGGCGCGAAGGCUAGGGUAGCAAACAGG